ensembl:lncRNA
CUUGGGUUCUUCUCCCACUCUCGACAUGUGUAGUAGUCUUCCUUCCACUGCCAGCAGGAGGGGAUGUGCCAUGCCUAUAGUAGUUAUGGAAACGGUUCCACAGGCUUUUGCAGGGUCUGAAUUCAGCCAGUAGUCAUCACAGGUCCGGGGUGGCUAGGGAGAUUAUAAUUACAGCUAUCUUUCACAUGGACACUGAAAAGAUCUGCAAAUAGCUGUAUGUGGUAUGGAUCAAGGUCAGGAGAGGUGUUAAAACAGAGGUGCUUAAAGGAAG